UUGAAAGCAACAAUCAUGAACCAGGGAAAGCUCAGCCGACUGCAGGCACCAGUGUGCAUUGGUGAGAAAGCAACUGCUUGCGGAAGGAAGAAGGUGGUCCGUAGAACAGCAGCAGCAGAUUAGAAAAAACUACAGCUCUCCUUAAAGAAGUUAGGGGUAAACACUAUCUCUGGUACUGAAGAGGUGAAUAUGUUUACAAACCAAUGAACAGCAAUCCACUUUAGCAACCCUAAAGGUCAGGUAUCUCUGGGAACACUUUCACCAUGACAGGCCAUGCUGGGACAAAGCUGCUGAAAGAAAUGCUACCAGCUGGUUUACCAUUGUAAACCAGCUUGGUGCAGACUGACUAGUUUAAGGAGGCUGGCUGGAGCUCCACCAAACUAUCUGUAGAUGGAAAAGCAGCACUUGCUGCUGGAGAGGAUGAUGAUGAUGAUAGUGAAGUUCCCGAUCUUGUGGAGAAUUUUGAUGAGGCUUCCAAGAAUGAGGCAAAGUGAA
rnacentral:lncRNA from 1 species